CUUUGCUUCACAGAUACGAUGCAGGACACAGCAGGCAGCUAUAGCCAUUGGGAUGUUUUUUUCCACUGAGAUCCACUCUUUCCACUAGAGUGACCAGAU